rnacentral:rRNA from 1 species
UACGGAGGGUGCGAGCGUUAAUCGGAAUUACUGGGCGUAAAGCGCACGCAGGCGGUUUGUUAAGCUAGAUGUGAAAGCCCCGGGCUCAACCUGGGAUGGUCAUUUAGAACUGGCAGACUAGAGUCUUGGAGAGGGGAGUGGAAUUCCAGGUGUAGCGGUGAAAUGCGUAGAUAUCUGGAGGAACAUCAGUGGCGAAGGCGACUCCCUGGCCAAAGACUGACGCUNAUGUGCGAAAGUGUGGGUAGCGAACAGC